CGCUAGCUACAGGCUUAACACAUGCAAGUCGAGGGGCUGCAUGGUCUUAGCUUGCUAAGGCCGAUGGCGACCGGCGCACGGGUGAGUAACACGUAUCCAACCUGCCGUCUACUCUUGGACAGCCUUCUGAAAGGAAGAUUAAUACAGGAUGGCAUCAUGAGUCCGCAUGUUCACAUGAUUAAAGGUAUUCCGGUAGACGAUGGGGAUGCGUUCCAUUAGAUAGUAGGCGGGGUAACGGCCCACCUAGUCUUCGAUGGAUAGGGGUUCUGAGAGGAAGGUCCCCCACAUUGGAACUGAGACACGGUCCAAACUCCUACGGGAGGCAGCAGUGAGGAAUAUUGGUCAAUGGGCGAGAGCCUGAACCAGCCAAGUAGCGUGAAGGAUGACUGCCCUAUGGGUUGUAAACUUCUUUUAUAAAGGAAUAAAGUCGGGUAUGGAUACCCGUUUGCAUGUACUUUAUGAAUAAGGAUCGGCUAACUCCGUGCCAGCAGCCGCGGUAAUACGGAGGAUCCGAGCGUUAUCCGGAUUUAUUGGGUUUAAAGGGAGCGUAGAUGGAUGUUUAAGUCAGUUGUGAAAGUUUGCGGCUCAACCGUAAAAUUGCAGUUGAUACUGGAUAUCUUGAGUGCAGUUGAGGCAGGCGGAAUUCGUGGUGUAGCGGUGAAAUGCUUAGAUAUCACGAAGAACUCCGAUUGCGAAGGCAGCCUGCUAAGCUGCAACUGACAUUGAGGCUCGAAAGUGUGGGUAUCAAACAGGAUUAGAUACCCUGGUAGUCCACACGGUAAACGAUGAAUACUCGCUGGUUGCGAUAUACUGCAAGCGGCCAAGCGAAAGCGUUAAGUAUUCCACCUGGGGAGUACGCCGGCAACGGUGAAACUCAAAGGAAUUGACGGGGGCCCGCACAAGCGGAGGAACAUGUGGUUUAAUUCGAUGAUACGCGAGGAACCUUACCCGGGCUUAAAUUGCAGAUGAAUUACGGUGAAAGCCGUAAGCCGCAAGGCAUCUGUGAAGGUGCUGCAUGGUUGUCGUCAGCUCGUGCCGUGAGGUGUCGGCUUAAGUGCCAUAACGAGCGCAACCCUUGUUGUCAGUUACUAACAGGUUCCGCUGAGGACUCUGACAAGACUGCCAUCGUAAGAUGUGAGGAAGGUGGGGAUGACGUCAAAUCAGCACGGCCCUUACGUCCGGGGCUACACACGUGUUACAAUGGGGGGUACAGAGGGCCGCUACCACGCGAGUGGAUGCCAAUCCCCAAAACCUCUCUCAGUUCGGACUGGAGUCUGCAACCCGACUCCACGAAGCUGGAUUCGCUAGUAAUCGCGCAUCAGCCACGGCGCGGUGAAUACGUUCCCGGGCCUUGCACACACCGCC
rnacentral:rRNA from 1 species